rnacentral:rRNA from 1 species
GACGAACGCUGGCGGCGUGCUUAACACAUGCAAGUCGAACGGUGAAGCGCCUUCCUUUUUGGUGGGUGUGGAUGAGUGGCGAACGGGUGAGUAACACGUGAGUAACCUGCCCCCUUCUUCUGGAUAACCGCAUGAAAGUGUGGCUAAUACGGGAUAUUCUGGGUCUGUCGCAUGAUGGGUCUGGGAAAGAUAUUGUUUCGGUGGGGGAUGGGCUCGCGGCCUAUCAGCUUGUUGGUGGGGUGAUGGCCUACCAAGGCGGUGACGGGUAGCCGGCCUGAGAGCGUGGACGCUCACACUGGGACUGAGACACGGCCCAGCCUCCUACGGGAGGCAGCAGUGGCGAAUAUUGCACAAUGGGCGCAAGCCUGAUGCCGCGACGCCGCGUGAGGGAUGGAGGCCUUCGGGUUGUGACCCUCUUUCGCCAGUGAAGCAGGCCUGCCUCGUUUGUGGGUGGGUUGACGGUAGCUGGAUAAGAAACGCCGGCGAACUACGU